rnacentral:rRNA from 1 species
GACGAACGCUGGCGGCGUGCUUAACACAUGCAAGUCGAACGAUGAAGCCGGAGCUUGCUCUGGUGAAUUAGUGGCGAACGGGUGAGUAACACGUGAGUAACCUGCCCUUGACUCUGGGAUAACUGCGGGAAACUGUAGCUAAUACCGGAUACGACCCUCGGAGGCAUCUCCUGGGGGUGGGAAGAAUUUCGGUCAAGGAUGGACUCGCGGCCUAUCAGCUAGUUGGUGAGGUAACGGCUCACCAAGGCGACGACGGGUAGCCGGCCUGGGAGGGUAACCGGCCACACUGCGACUGAGACACGGCCCAGACUCCCACGGGAGGCAGCAGUGGGGAAUAUUGCACAAUGGGCGCAAGCCUGAUGCAGCAACGCCGCGUGAGGGAUGACGGCCUUCGGGUUGUAAACCUCUUUUAGUAGGGAAGAAGCGAAAGUGACGGUACCUGCAGAAAAAGCACCGGCUAACUACGUGCCAGCCGCCGCGGUAA